rnacentral:tRNA from 9 species
CGGAGCAUGGCGCAGUCUGGUAGCGCACCUGGUUUGGGACCAGGGGGUCGUAGGUUCGAAUCCUACUGUUCCGACCA